AACGCACAUUGCGCCCGCCAGCAUUCUGGCGGGCAUGCCUGUUCGAGCGUCAUUUCAACCCUCGAGCCCGACUCUCCGGAGGACGGCUCGGCGUUGGGGACCGGCAGACUGCCCCCCGCCUCCGGGCGAGGGACGCCGCCCCCGAAAUCUAGUGGCGGCCCUCCGCGGCGACCUCUGCGUAGUAACUCACCUCGCACUGGGAAGAACGGAGCGGCCACGCCGUAAAACACCCAACUUUCUCAAGGUUGACCUCGAAUCAGGUAGGACUACCCGCUGAACUUAA
rnacentral:misc_RNA from 1 species